CAGUCGCCGCGGUAAUGCGUAGGUCCCGAGCGUUGUCCGGAUUUAUUGGGCGUAAAGCGAGCGCAGGCGGUUAGAUAAGUCUGAAGUUAAAGGCUGUGGCUUAACCAUAGUACGCUUUGGAAACUGUUUAACUUGAGUGCAAGAGGGGAGAGUGGAAUUCCAUGUGUAGCGGUGAAAUGCGUAGAUAUAUGGAGGAACACCGGUGGCGAAAGCGGCUCUCUGGCUUGUAACUGACGCUGAGGCUCGAAAGCGUGGGGAGCAAACAGGAUUAGAUACCCCCGUAGUCCCUGUCUCUUAUACA
rnacentral:rRNA from 1 species